UACGUAGGGUGCAAGCGUUGUCCGGAAUUAUUGGGCGUAAAGAGCUCGUAGGCGGUUUGUCGCGUCUGCUGUGAAAACUCGAGGCUCAACCUCGGGCUUGCAGUGGGUACGGGCAGACUAGAGUGCGGUAGGGGUGACUGGAAUUCCUGGUGUAGCGGUGGAAUGCGCAGAUAUCAGGAGGAACACCGGUGGCGAAGGCGGAUCUCUGGGCCGUAACUGACGCUGAGGAGCGAAAGCAUGGGGAGCGAACAGG
rnacentral:rRNA from 1 species